rnacentral:tRNA from 1 species
UCCCUGGCAGUUCAGGGGUUAGGACUCAGUACUUGCACUGCUGUAGCCCGGGUUUAAUCCCUGGUCAGGGAU